GACGAACGCUGGCGGCGUGCUUAACACAUGCAAGUCGAACGAAGUGGCGAACGGGUGAGUAACGCGUAAUCAACCUGCCCUUCAGAGGGGAACAACAGUUGGAAACGACUGCUAAUACCGCAUACGGAGGAGGGGAUUGCGUCUGAUUAGCCAGUUGGCGGGGGAAAGGGCCACCAAGGCGAUGAUCAGUAGCCGGUCUGGGAGGAUGAACGGCACACUUGGGACUGGGACCAGGCCCAGACUCCUACGGGAAGCAGACGGGGGGAAUCAUCCGCAAUGGACGGAAGGCUGACGGAGCCACGGCGCGUGAGUGAUGACUGCCUUCGGGUUGGAAAGCUCCGUUAAUCGGGACGCGGUACCUGAAUAGAAAGCCACGGCUAACUACGUGCCAGCAGCCGCGGUAAUAC
rnacentral:rRNA from 1 species